CGCCCCCUCCCUCCCCCUCCUCCCCCCCCAGGCAGCCUGACGCCUCCCCAGGUCUGUCCCUGUCCAGUCCAGAGCUGCUGUUGGAGCUGACUAGGAGACAGAGUUGUCCUCUGAGACGCGUCCAGAAGCGCAGUGGACUGACCACCGUCUUCUCUGGACGAGGACGACAGGUCUCAGGCUCCUCCCCUUAGGCUGAGCCAGCCAAUAGGAGAGCUGCUGCUCCUCUUUCUACCUCCACAUCAGGCUGAACAACUUGGAGCGUCACACACAGAAGCCCCGCCCCUUUUAUGACCACGCCAGGUUUGAAGCUCCGCCCCUCUAAAAAUCCCGCCUCGUCUCAAGCCCCGCCCCCUGCGCCGCAGAAGUCCUGCAAAUGUUUUUGUUCUGAAGAGAUCAUCAUAUGUAGAUCAUAAAGUUUAAUUAAAUAUCAACUUGUUGAUUUCAGAUGACGUUUGUUAAGAAAUAAAUAUCUACAAGUAAAGAAUACACUAAGGUUUAAACGCCGGCGAUUAGUGGAUGUGAUUCCAGUUUAGCUUCCAUAACCGGGUCAUGUGACUGCUGUCAGGUUUCCACCAACCCAGAACCAAGAUGGUGGUUCAGCAGAACCUCAUGCCCAGUUCAGAACCCAACAGAACCAAACUGUUCAGUUACGCUUUUAUUAACUCUGCCAGUUAAGUCUAUGAUUCAUUUAUGAAUAAAUUGGCUCAAUAAAUAGUUUAGCUAAUGAAUUAAUGAGCUGAUAAAUGAAACAAGAAAAGAAAAUAAUAACAAAAUAUACUUAUCUGGCAUAAAUGUAGUUGUUCAGUUUCAGAUGUUAUAAUUUAUAUUUGAGCUGUUAUUGUGGUUUGAUUUGAACUCUUUUCUAUAUAAUAUUUGGAGAAAAAAAUACACGUUGAACACUUAAAAUG